rnacentral:rRNA from 1 species
UUUUAUGGAGAGUUUGAUCCUGGCUCAGGAUGAACGCUGGCGGCGUGCCUAAUACAUGCAAGUCGAGCGAACGGACGAGAAGCUUGCUUCUCUGAUGUUAGCGGCGGACGGGUGAGUAACACGUGGAUAACCUACCUAUAAGACUGGGAUAACUUCGGGAAACCGGAGCUAAUACCGGAUAAUAUUUUGAACCGCAUGGUUCAAAAGUGAAAGACGGUCUCGCUGUCACUUAUAGAUGGAUCCGCGCUGCAUUAGCUAGUUGGUAAGGUAACGGCUUACCAAGGCAACGAUGCAUAGCCGACCUGAGAGGGUGAUCGGCCACACUGGAACUGAGACACGGUCCAGACUCCUACGGGAGGCAGCAGUAGGGAAUCUUCCGCAAUGGGCGAAAGCCUGACGGAGCAACGCCGCGUGAGUGAUGAAGGUCUUCGGAUCGUAAAACUCUGUUAUUAGGGAAGAACAUAUGUGUAAGUAACUGUGCACAUCUUGACGGUACCUAAUCAGAAAGCCACGGCUAACUACGUGCCAGCAGCCGCGGUAAUACGUAGGUGGCAAGCGUUAUCCGGAAUUAUUGGGCGUAAAGCGCGCGUAGGCGGUUUUUUAAGUCUGAUGUGAAAGCCCACGGCUCAACCGUGGAGGGUCAUUGGAAACUGGAAAACUUGAGUGCAGAAGAGGAAAGUGGAAUUCCAUGUGUAGCGGUGAAAUGCGCAGAGAUAUGGAGGAACACCAGUGGCGAAGGCGACUUUCUGGUCUGUAACUGACGCUGAUGUGCGAAAGCGUGGGGAUCAAACAGGAUUAGAUACCCUGGUAGUCCACGCCGUAAACGAUGAGUGCUAAGUGUUAGGGGGUUUCCGCCCCUUAGUGCUGCAGCUAACGCAUUAAGCACUCCGCCUGGGGAGUACGACCGCAAGGUUGAAACUCAAAGGAAUUGACGGGGACCCGCACAAGCGGUGGAGCAUGUGGUUUAAUUCGAAGCAACGCGAAGAACCUUACCAAAUCUUGACAUCCUUUGACAACUCUAGAGAUAGAGCCUUCCUCUUCGGGGGACAAAGUGACAGGUGGUGCAUGGUUGUCGUCAGCUCGUGUCGUGAGAUGUUGGGUUAAGUCCCGCAACGAGCGCAACCCUUAAGCUUAGUUGCCAUCAUUAAGUUGGGCACUCUAAGUUGACUGCCGGUGACAAACCGGAGGAAGGUGGGGAUGACGUCAAAUCAUCAUGCCCCUUAUGAUUUGGGCUACACACGUGCUACAAUGGACAAUACAAAGGGCAGCGAAACCGCGAGGUCAAGCAAAUCCCAUAAAGUUGUUCUCAGUUCGGAUUGUAGUCUGCAACUCGACUACAUGAAGCUGGAAUCGCUAGUAAUCGUAGAUCAGCAUGCUACGGUGAAUACGUUCCCGGGUCUUGUACACACCGCCCGUCACACCACGAGAGUUUGUAACACCCGAAGCCGGUGGAGUAACCUUUUAGGAGCUAGCCGUCGAAGGUGGGACAAAUGAUUGGGGUGAAGUCGUAACAAGGUAGCCGUAUCGGAAGGUGCGGCUGGAUCACCUCCUUUCUAA